CAACUCGACUACAUGAAGCUGGAAUCGCUAGUAAUCGCAAAUCAGAAUGUUGCGGUGAAUACGUUCCCGGGUCUUGUACACACCGCCCGUCACACCAUGGGAGCCGGGAGUGCCUGAAGUGUGCAACCGCAAGGAGCGCCCUAAGGUAAAACUGGUGACUGGGGCUAAGUCGUAACAAGGUAGC
rnacentral:rRNA from 1 species